UACGAAGGGUGCAAGCGUUAUUCGGAAUCACUGGGCGUAAAGGGUGCGUAGACGGUAUAUUAAGUUCGUUGUUAAAGGCUCCGGCCUAACCGGAGUAUUGCAAUGAAAACUGGUUUGCUAGAGGUUGAGAGAGAGAAGUGGAAUUCCCGGAGUAGCGGUAAAAUGCGUGGAUCUCGGGAGGAACACCAAUGGCGAAGGCAGCUUCUUGGCUCAUUCCUGACGUUGAGGCACGAAAGCGUGGGGAG
rnacentral:rRNA from 1 species